AGCGAACGCUGGCGGCAGGCCUAACACAUGCAAGUCGAACGAACUCUUCGGAGUUAGUGGCGGACGGGUGAGUAACACGUGGGAACGUGCCUUUAGGUUCGGAAUAACUCAGGGAAACUUGUGCUAAUACCGAAUGUGCCCUUCGGGGGAAAGAUUUAUCGCCUUUAGAGCGGCCCGCGUCUGAUUAGCUAGUUGGUGAGGUAAAGGCGCACCAAGGCGACGAUCAGUAGCUGGUCUGAGAGGAUGAUCAGCCACAUUGGGACUGAGACACGGCCCAAACUCCUACGGGAGGCAGCAGUGGGGAAUCUUGCGCAAUGGGCGAAAGCCUGACGCAGCCAUGCCGCGUGAAUGAUGAAGGUCUUAGGAUUGUAAAAUUCUUUCACCGGGGACGAUAAUGACGGUACCCGGAGAAGAAGCCCCGGCUAACUUCGUG
rnacentral:rRNA from 1 species